GCCGGGCGCCGUGGCGCGUGCCUGUAGUCUCAGCUACUUGGGAGGCUGAGGUGGGAGGAUCGCUUGAGCCCAGGAGUUCUGGGCUGCAGUGCGCUAUGCCCCCGGGUGUCCGCACUAAGUUCGGCAUCAAUAUGGUGACCUCCUGGGAGCCGGGGACCACCAGGUUGCCUAAGGAGGGGUGAAUCGGCGCAGGUCGGAAACGGAGCAGGUCAAAACUCCCGUGCUGAUCAGUAGUGGGAUCGCGCCUGUGAAUAGCCACUGCACUCCAGCCUGGGCAACACAGCAAGACCCCGUCUCU
rnacentral:SRP_RNA from 1 species